UACAGAGGUCUCAAGCGUUGUUCGGAUUCAUUGGGCGUAAAGCGCACGUAGGCGGCUUGGUAUGUCGGGUGUGAAAUCCCCGGGCUCAACCUGGGAACUGCAUCCGAAACUGCCUUGCUAGAGUAUGGGAGAGGGAAGUGGAAUUUCCGGUGUAGCGGUGAAAUGCGUAGAUAUCGGAAGGAACAUCAGUGGCGAAGGCGACUUCCUGGACCAAUACUGACGCUCAGGUGCGAAAGCGUGGGGAGCAAACAGG
rnacentral:rRNA from 1 species